UCUCUCGCUAUUUUUACUCUUAUCGUUCUAACCUAUCUUAAUCUCUAGCUGCGCCUCUUUCUUCUCCAUCUUCUUCAUCUCCUCCAUGGAACCAGAAACUGAAAAAUUCAGAAAAAAUCACUUCAAUCUUGUGAUCCUUACCCCAAACCCCUGCUCCAUCUUAUCUUCUCCAUAAAACUCAAACUCUCCGAUAAACCCAAGGGUAAUAGCAACAGUUUGUUUCUCAUUAAACAAACUCCUUGACUCACCUUUUAUACUAAGAAAUAAAACUGGUAGAUCUGAAUCGAUUCAAGUUAAUCUUUGUGAUUUCAGUUGAUGGAACAACCCAAGUCUACAUGGGUGAAGCAAAAAGUUGAAAUGGCCAAAGAAAUUAAAUCGGGAGAAAAAGUUGCAUGUCAAAAAUUAGACCAGAAUAAGAAGUUAAAUGACAUGUUUGGAUCCUAGUGGAGCAAGGAAGAGCUUAGACGCUUUAUGAAGCAUAUUGUAUGGGAAGAUUGGGAAGAUUGUACCACAAUCCAACCAAGCUUUGACCCUGAAGGAUAAAUUCGGAUCGGUUCUCUGGUUUCUCUGGUUUUCCAUCGGGGGAGAUCACCAAUAUUAUUUUGAUAUGAUUCUUGUCAAACUAAGGCAGUCGGGAUACAAAGAAAGGUACUACAAGGAGAUUGAUAAAUUCAAAGAUGAUCUUGGGCAGUUGAGAUGGAAUUGGAGGUGCAUUAAGAUGCUGGGAUGUAGUACUACCUGAUGCACUUGGUCUAAUCUUUAAGAAACUAUCUCUGCAAGAUAUUCUAAUUGUUGGCAAAGUUGUUGUUGGACCUUAUUUUUGAGGAUUGUAGUCGCCUGUAAUCGCAGGACAAAAUUAAUCAAGUGAUUGAAAUGCUCAUUUGAAGCUAUGAUUUUGAUUGUAGGCAAAGUUAUUGUUAUGUGUACACUAUAGGGCUUUACUGAAAUUACAGUGUUAUGUGCGGAAUAAGGCUUAUCCCGGAGGCGCGAUGGCAAAAGGGCAAAUCAUUGAAGAAUCUCUUGUAUUGAUUGAGCGCCAUAUGAAUACUGCAAAGUUUAAUCAAUUUGAUUUCAAUCAGAUGUUAAUAAGUUGUCUUUUUUCAGGAUCUGUGAAUAUUCUCUACUUGUUUUUUUUUCCUUAUGUACAGUUGUAAGAAUGUUCUCAUGCACAUGUGAUUUGCUUAAUUUUCUUA